rnacentral:rRNA from 1 species
CCCUUAGAUGUUCUGGGCCGCACGCGCGCUACACAGACGAAUGCAACGAGCUUAUAACCUUGGCCGAAAGGUCUGGGUAAUCUCCAAAUUUCGUCGUGAUGGGGAUAGAUUAUUGCAAUUAUUAAUCUUCAACGAGGAAUGCCUAGUAAGCGCAAGUCAUCAGCUUGCGUUGAUUACGUCCCUGCCCUUUGUACACACCGCCCGUCGCUCCUACCGAUUGAAUGGUCCGGUGAAGCGUUCGGACCGUGGCCUUUGGACGGUUCGCCGUCUGUUGGCUGCGGGAAGUUCGUUAAACCUUAUCAUUUAGAGGAAGGAGAAGUCGUAACA